UCUUGUUAUUUUUCUUGUUAUUUUUAUACAUCUUUCCUUGUAAUGCAAAUAUUUUAUUUUCUCCAUUAAUUAUUGAAACUCGCAUUUUUCUUUUCAUUGCUAUUUUUGUUAUUUUUUGCUUUUGAUUUAUAACUCGACUGGAUUUCUCUAUUCAUUUUACUUACAACAUCACUUUUGAAUGCCUUAAACAUAAUUUUUGUAUGUCCAAGGCCAAUGGCGUUCACCAAAAGGCUCAUGGCG
rnacentral:lncRNA from 1 species